GCCCUUGAAAUAAUGAUUCGUUAUGCUCCAACCACAUUCUGAUAGUGAUACGACCUUAGGCUCACUGCCCACUGUCCCUGCUCUCUCUCUCUCUCUCUGACUCUCUCUAGAUGGUGGAAUUUUAGCAUCCCAAUGUGAUUUCAAGAAAAAAGUAUAUCAGUGUAGACUGCGGCAGAAGCUGCGCAGCUACUUUGAGAGACCAGAAAGAUUGCGUUUUGCAUCUGCGUUCCCUUCACCAUCACCCUUUCUCGAAAAGUAACAAACCCAGAGCAAGAGACAUUGCAGCCCACCUCUCAACUUAUUUAAAACAGCGAAGAAAACAGGGGAAGAGCCAAUUGGGUUUUUGGUGCAGGAGACUCGGUGAGCAGCAGUGUAAGCGAGCCACUUAUGAAUAUGGGUUUGGUAGGAAGCUUGGUUUGGGUGAAUGCAUACAGUAGGAAGCAGUGUAGGAGCCUGUUCUGGAGAAUGAGAGCGGCAUUGAAGAAGGCUCUCAAGAACUCUGGCAAGCAGCAGUUGAGGUUCCAAUAUGAUCCUUCCAGCUAUGCUCUGAAUUUUGAUGAUGGCUCUUGGAAAUCAGCCCAGGAAGCAAAUGCUUUGAAAUUGAAACAUGCAACAAAACCUCAGCCCCAUUCGGAUUCUGAUGUCAAAAAUACUGCUUGGGUUUAUGUUCUUUGGGUGGUUUCGGAGUGAUGUUUGCGAGGGGAAAGAGGGGAGCAGAUUGUUUUUUCAUUUUUCUUUGUGUUUGUGUGGUGUCCAAAAAAUUUAGCAGCUAAAGUGCCAUGCUUGUCAAGAGUGGGGUCAUUGUCUAAAAAAUGAAUGGUUAUAAUUACAAGUGUGACUUAUGAUUUUCUUAUUUCAUUUCUCAUGUUAACUUCUUCGUUGUUUGGCUAAAUUGUCUAAUAUUUAUUUUCUUGAGUCCUCAGGGAAAUUACACGAUCAUGAUGUUCUUAA